GAUAAGUCAGAUGUGAAAUCCCCGGGCUUAACCUGGGAACUGCAUCUGAAACUGUUAGGCUAGAGUAGGUGAGAGGGAAGUAGAAUUUCAGGUGUAGCGGUGAAAUGCGUAGAGAUCUGAAGGAAUACCGAUGGCGAAGGCAGCUUCCUGGCAUCAUACUGACACUGAGGCUCGAAAGCGUGGGUAGCAAACAGGAUUAGAUACCCUGGUAGUCCACGCCGUAAACGAUGUCUACUAGUCGUUGGGUCCCUUGAGGACUUAGUGACGCAGCUAACGCAAUAAGUAGACCGCCUGGGGAGUACGGCCGCAAGGUUAAAACUCAAAUGAAUUGACGGGGGCCCGCACAAGCGGUGGAGCAUGUGGUUUAAUUCGAUGCAACGCGAAGAACCUUACCUGGUCUUGACAUAUCUAGAAUCCUGCAGAGAUGCGGGAGUGCCUUCGGGAAUUAGAAUACAGGUGCUGCAUGGCUGUCGUCAGCUCGUGUCGUGAGAUGUUGGGUUAAGUCCCGCAACGAGCGCAACCCUUGUCCUUAGUUACCAGCGGGUUAAGCCGGGAACUCUAAGGAUACUGCCAGUGACAAACUGGAGGAAGGCGGGGACGACGUCAAGUCAUCAUGGCCCUUACGACCAGGGCUACACACGUGCUACAAUGGUAGGUACAGAGGGCAGCUACACAGCGAUGUGAUGCGAAUCUCAAAAAGCCUAUCGUAGUCCAGAUUGGAGUCUGCAACUCGACUCCAUGAAGUAGGAAUCGCUAGUAAUCGCGGAUCAGAAUGCCGCGGUGAAUACGUUCCCGGGCCUUGUACACACCGCCCGUCACACCAUGGGAGUUGAUUGCACCAGAAGUGGAUAGCUUAACCUUCGGGGAGGCGUCACCACGGNGUGUGAA
rnacentral:rRNA from 1 species